GAUGAAGAACGCAGCGAAAUGCGAUAAGUAAUGCGAAUUGCAGAAUUUCCGUGAGUCAUCGAAUCUUUGAACGCACAUUGCGCCCCUUGGUACUCCAUGGGGCAUGCCUGUUCGAGCGUCAUUUACACCCUCAAGCUCAGCUUGGUGUUGGGCGUCUGUCCCGCUUCGUGCGCGGACUCGCCUCAAAUGCAUUGGCAGCGGUCUUGCCAGCUUCUCGCGCAGCACAUUGCGCUUCUAGAGGCUUUGGCGGAUCGGCGUCCAUCAAGUACACCCACAGUUUGACCUCGGAUCAGGUAGGGAUACCCGCUGAACUUAAGCAUAUCAAUAAGCGGAGGA
rnacentral:misc_RNA from 1 species